GAUGAACGCUGGCGGCGUGCCUAAUACAUGCAAGUCGAACGCUGAAGGAGGAGCUUGCUCUUCUGGAUGAGUUGCGAACGGGUGAGUAACGCGUAGGUAACCUGCCUGGUAGCGGGGGAUAACUAUUGGAAACGAUAGCUAAUACCGCAUGACAACAGUUAUUGCAUGAUAACUGUUUAAAAGGGGCAACUGCUCCACUACCAGAUGGACCUGCGUUGUAUUAGCUAGUUGGUGAGGUAACGGCUCACCAAGGCGACGAUACAUAGCCGACCUGAGAGGGUGAUCGGCCACACUGGGACUGAGACACGGCCCAGACUCCUACGGGAGGCAGCAGUAGGGAAUCUUCGGCAAUGGACGGAAGUCUGACCGAGCAACGCCGCGUGAGUGAAGAAGGGUUUCGGAUCGUAAAGCUCUGUUGUAAGAGAAGAACGAGUGUGAGAGUGGAAAGUUCACACUGUGACGGUAUCUUACCAGAAAGGGACGGCUAACUACGUG
rnacentral:rRNA from 1 species